GACGAACGCUGGCGGCGUGCCUAAUACAUGCAAGUAGAACGCUGAAGGAGGAGCUUGCUUCUCUGGAUGAGUUGCGAACGGGUGAGUAACGCGUAGGUAACCUGCCUUUUAGCGGGGGAUAACUAUUGGAAACGAUAGCUAAUACCGCAUAAGAGUAGAUGUCGCAUGACAUUUGCUUAAAAGUUGCAAUUGCAUCACUACCAGAUGGACCUGCGUUGUAUUAGCUAGUUGGUGAGGUAACGGCUCACCAAGGCAACGAUACAUAGCCGACCUGAGAGGGGGAUCGGCCACACUGGGACGGAGACACGGCCCAGACUCCUACGGGAGGCAGCAGUAGGGAAUCUUCGGCAAUGGACGGAAGUCUGACCGAGAAACGCCGAGUGAGGGAAGAAGGUUUUCGGAUCGUAAAGCUCUGUUGUAAGAGAAGAAAGAGUGUGAGAGUGGAAAGUUCACACUGUGACGGUAUCUGACCAGAAAGGGACGGCUAACUACGUG
rnacentral:rRNA from 1 species